UACGUAGGGUGCGAGCGUUAAUCGGAAUUACUGGGCGUAAAGCGUGCGCAGGCGGUUUUGUAAGCCAGAGGUGAAAUCCCCGGGCUUAACCUGGGAAUGGCAUUUGGGACUGCAAGGCUUGAGUGCGGCAGAGGAGACUGGAAUUCCUGGUGUAGCAGUGAAAUGCGUAGAUAUCAGGAGGAACACCGAUGGCGAAGGCAGGUCUCUGGGCAUUAACUGACGCUGAGGAGCGAAAGCAUGGGGAGCGAACAGG
rnacentral:rRNA from 1 species